UCCCCAUCUCUGUUUAUUAUAAGGAAUUCUUAACAGUUAAGAGACAUCAAGCAGAUUCUUAACACUUGCUCUUGCUGUCGGUAGGAUCGAUAUCCAAUAAUACUGAUGCUUUAGCUGACCUGCUUGAAGCAGUAAAGAGUAUGGAGCUGCACUCUACAAUGAUAUGGAGAUUCACUCUACAAUGAAUGGCAUACAACUUUUUAAGACACCAACAUAUGGUACAAGUGGACUAUACUACUUUCAUAAAAAAAGAUUUGGCAAAGGUUAAACGCGGCCCUUUGUUCAUGGAAGGACUCCCACAGAAAUAGAGCUCGACUCUUUCCAUGUCGUCCUUAUUACGGGAAUAUAUGUUUAUCCGGGGGCCCAUUAGUUAUAAGUGUUCAAAUAAAAAAAUUCACAUGGAGAAGAUUGGGGUAACAAGGGAUGUAGUUGGGUCAAUCCGAAUGUCUUCAUAGAUAUUGGUGUACCUGAUAUGCGGUCUUGUGAUACCGUGAAAAAAAGGGGAAAAAGAUACCGGGACCUCACAAGGUAUUGUUCAAACCGCCAAAAAGAAUUGCAAGGUCAUUCUAGGAUCAAAGUUUUUAAAACUCAUUUCAAAAGAUUUCUUUGCGAUUAUAGUUAUCGAGGAUUUCUUUCACUUUCACCUUUACUUUUACGAGGAGAGGAAGGUCGCAAGAAAGGGCAAAGCCGAACACAAGUUUUCUUCAGCGUUUGUAGCUCGUUGUAAUGGCGAAUAUUGUGCAAGUAUAUUCAAAUUGGGCCUCUGACCCUUUAAGUGUGUGCACAAAUAACGGCUCACCAACCAUAUUCCCUAAUAAAGUGAGGGAGAUUUCCAUUGCUCACCACUAUACAGAAGUAUGGGACCAAGAGUACUAGCCCUACUGUUGUUUCUACUGUUGUCCCUAUGUAGGGGCACAUCUCAUGACUAACAUAUAUCGCUAACUUGGUUAUGAUAAGUUAGUUAUAUCGCCACGGAGUUGGUAAAUUAUGGGUGUCACUCGAUAGCGCAAGUAAGUAGAUGUCUUGCAAAGGGGUUGUAUGAUUCAUAUAAUCAACAAUUCUUAAGGAUGGCUAACAUGACACCCACACAAAUAUCCCAAAAAAAGUUACAAAAUUGGCGGUCGUAGACAAUAUCGUAAUCCUAUAACAAUUGUAAACGUUCUUGUGGGAAACUUUUCUAGAAACGCAGAUGUCAUGUACCCCGUUUUUGGUGCUAUCCAUACAUUUUAUUUAGACUCAGAUUUAGCAAAGGAAGCAACAAAAACGGAACCCUUUGCUCAUGACAAAAUAUAUAUCAUCAGCUUGGUUAUAAAACAUUAGUUAUAUCACCUCAGGAGUUGGUAACUUAUAGGUGUUUGACAAUGGAAGAUAUAUAAAGAUGUUCUGUGAUAGGGGUGCAUGAUUCAAAUUAUCAACAAUUCCUAAAAAUGCGUAAUAUGACACCCAAACAAAUAUCCGGAGAAUGGUAUAAAAUCACGGCUUUAUAAAGUAUGAUGAUUCUACAACGUUUGCAAAAGCUUUUGUGGAUAACUUUUCUAGAAAAGCAGUUGUCCUAUACCUCGUUUUUGGCCUUAUCUGUAUGUAUGAUUUCGACUCGGAUUUGGCAAGGUUAAACGCGACCCUUUGUUCAUGAAAGGACUCCCACAGAAGAAGAGCUCGACGCCCUCCAUGCCGUCCUUAUUACGGGCAUAUAUGUUUUAUCAGGGGACCCACUAGUUUUAAGUGUUGAAAUAAAAAAUUCACACGGGGUAGAUUGGGAUAACAAGGGAUAUAGUUGGGUCAAUCCUAAAGUCUUUAUAGAUAUUGGUGUACCUUAUAUGGUGUAUUGUGAUACCACGAAAAAAAAGGGAGAAUGGUUGUGAAUAUAAAUUCAUCUUCUUCAUCUUCUCCCCCUGCAACUGUCUGAUCGACAAUGGUUGUGAAUUGAUGAGUAGUAAGAGCCUAGUUUGAACAAUUCGAUCAGUAGUCAGAGCCUAGUGUAACGCCCAACGUCCCUAAACUUUAGGAUCUUGCCAAGAUUAGUCCCUGAAGUUUGGACUAUUGACAUUUUUGGUCCCUAUUGUAUGAUAUAUUGAUACUUUGGCUGU
rnacentral:lncRNA from 1 species